UAGGGAAUCUUCGGCAAUGGGGGCAACCCUGACCGAGCAACGCCGCGUGAGUGAAGAAGGUUUUCGGAUCGUAAAGCUCUGUUGUAAGUCAAGAACGGGUGUGAGAGUGGAAAGUUCACACUGUGACGGUAGCUUACCAGAAAGGGACGGCUAACUACGUGCCAGCAGCCGCGGUAAUACGUAGGUCCCGAGCGUUGUCCGGAUUUAUUGGGCGUAAAGCGAGCGCAGGCGGUUUGAUAAGUCUGAAGUUAAAGGCUGUGGCUCAACCAUAGUUCGCUUUGGAAACUGUCAAACUUGAGUGCAGAAGGGGAGAGUGGAAUUCCAUGUGUAGCGGUGAAAUGCGUAGAUAUAUGGAGGAACACCGGUGGCGAAAGCGGCUCUCUGGUCUGUAACUGACGCUGAGGCUCGAAAGCGUGGGGAGCGAACAGGAUUAGAUACCCUGGUAGUCCACGCCGUAAACGAUGAAUGCUAGGUGUUGGAUCCUUUCCGGGAUUCAGUGCCGCAGCUAACGCAUUAAGCACUCCGCCUGGGGAGUACGACCGCAAGGUUGAAACG
rnacentral:rRNA from 1 species